AGAGUUUACGUAGUCCUCGGCGUACACGGAGUGAACGCUGGCGGCGUGCCGUAACACAUGCAAGUCGAACGAAGCACGUCCCUCCGAGGCCUUCGGGCGGAGAGGGGCGAUGACUUAGUGGCGGACGGGUGAGUAACGCGUGGGUAACCUGCCCUAUACUGGGGGAUAACAGCUAGAAAUGGCUGCUAAUACCGCAUGAGCGCACAGUCCCGCAUGGGACAGUGUGGAAAACUCCGGUGGUAUAGGAUGGACCCGCGUCCGAUCAGCUGGUUGGUGGGGUAACGGCCCACCAAGGCGACGAUCGGUAGCCGACCUGAGAGGGUGACCGGCCACAUUGGGACUGAGACACGGCCCAAACUCCUACGGGAGGCAGCAGUGGGGGAUAUUGCACAAUGGGGGGAACCCUGAUGCAGCGACGCCGCGUGAGUGAAGGAGUACUCCGGUAUGUAAAGCUCUAUCAGCAGGGAAGAAGCAGGACGGUACCUGACCAAGAAGCCCCGGCUAACUACGUG
rnacentral:rRNA from 1 species